CAAUAGCGUAUAUUUAAGUUGUUGCAGUUAAAAAGCUCGUAGUUGGAUUUCGGAUGGGACUUGCCGGUCCGUCGUUUCGAUGUGCACUGGCCAGUCCUAUCUUGUUGUCGGGGACUAGCUCCUGGGCUUCACUGUCCGGGACUAGGAGCUGACGAGGUUACUUUGAGUAAAUUAGAGUGUUCAAAGCAAGCCUACGCUCUGAAUACAUUAGCAUGGAAUAACGCGAUAGGACUCUGGCUUAUCUUGUUGGUCUGUGAGACCAGAGUAAUGAUUAAGAGGGACAGUCGGGGGCAUUCGUAUUUCAUUGUCAGAGGUGAAAUUCUUGGAUUUAUGAAAGACGAACUUCUGCGAAAGCAUUUGUCAAGGAUGUUUNCAUUAA
rnacentral:rRNA from 1 species